AAAUUAAGGAAGAAAAGUUUAACACUUGUACCUUUUGUAUAAUGGUUCAACAAGGUUGGGUAAAUAGAGUUUUACAUCCCGAAGCUGAGCGAGCUAGUGUGCUCUACUUUAAGAGGAAAAGUUUUUACUGUUGCAGUAGUAAGGCUUGAGGGCACAUUANAUGUGAAAUGCUUAUCGCGCUCAGGGAUAGCUGGUUCUUCUAGAAAUUAGUGUAAGCUAAGUGCGUGUCUUUAUUAUUGUGGUAUAAAUCUUAUGGGAUAAAUCCAGAUGGGAAAAUAAUAACAUGUAUCGUUAGACAGGAAAGGAUAAGCUCUCUUGUCAAGUAAGAAAAAGCUUUGGUUACUAACUAAGGGUAGUUUUACAAAUAUGUUUGUGGUUGAUAAAAAGUAGGAUUAAUAGCAUCUGUCUUAGUAGAGGGCGUUAAAGCUCAUUUAUUCUAAAAAACAUAAACAAUUUUAUUGUACAACUUUAAGUUGUAAAAGUAUUAUAGGAGAACUCCAAAUUAUAUUGGAAGUUAUAAUGUUGGAAUUAGUAGAGAAAUAUAAGUAUUUUUUGUGUAUUAAUCAAUCCUAACUUUGGAUGGAGCAAUGGCUUGUAUCGAGAAGCUGGUUUGCUGGGGUUGUCUACUGACACAGGUAAUAUUAAACUAAUUAAAAUUAAGGGAAAGGAACUCGGCAAAUAAAUAUUUCGCCUGUUUACCAAAAACAUCGCCUUUUGAAAAGAUCCUAAGAUAUAAAAGGUCCUGCCUGCCCAGUGACUUAGUUAAACGGCCGCGGUAUCUUGACCGUGCAAAGGUAGCAUAAUCAUUUGCCUCUUAAAUGGGGGCUGGUAUGAAUGGCAAGACGGAAAUUAAGCUGUCUCUCUCUUAUAUUUUGAAAUUGAUAUUUUUGUGAAGAAGCAAAAAUAAGAUCGCAGGACGAGAAGACCCUAUCGAGCUUUAACAGAAAGAGGUACAAGUAUUAAUUGUGCUGUUCCUAUUGCUAAUUGAAUGCCUAGGGCGGUCUUGAAUUUACUCUAGGAGCGUAGUGCUGUGUACUUUAUGUUUAGGUUGGGGCAACCGCGGAGAAAACUUAUCCUCCGCUAGCAUUACUAGGAAAAAGUUAUUUUUCCAGAACAAAGUCUGUGUGCAAGUGAUCCACUUUAAUAGUGAUCAAAAGAACAAGUUACCGUAGGGAUAACAGCGUAAUUUUUUUGGAGAGUUCAUAUUGAUAAAAAAGUUUGCGACCUCGAUGUUGGAUCGGGAUUUCCUGGGGAUGCAGCAGUUCCCAA
rnacentral:rRNA from 1 species